rnacentral:lncRNA from 1 species
GAGGCGGUUAUUGAGUUUUGUGUUGACAUUAUUCUUGACCUUUGGCCGAUUGGUUUUCCUAAAUCACGACAUAAGGGGAGACUGAGUGGAAAAGGAACUCUAGGAAAGGAUUCAGUAAUAUGUAGGGACGGGCAUUCUUGGGCGCAAGCACUGUUGUUGAUACGCAAAAUGAGUAGGCCCAUGAAGGGUCGAAAUACCAUAAUAGCAUUGGUUACACAGAUGAGAUGGUUCUAGACAAAUACGUACAUACUAUCCACUCAUACAAGUACAUUCCAUCCACUCGGAUCACAAUCAACCACUCGGCCAAUUGACUCACUCGGGUAUGCGAAGACCAACAGUCGGCAAGGUAGUCGAAGCAUAGAGAAGGUUCUGUAGUGGGUUGACAAUAUGGUAUCAAU